GGAACAUGUCCGAACGCAAAAGGCUUUUUUGUUUUUUUUUUUUUGUGCAUAAACUUGUAUGCUGUUGUCGAAGUCAGCAGAGAAUUCGAAGAAGCGUAGAAGAGUGGCGACGAAAGCGGUCCGACAAAACUAGAGGCAGAUCUUCGGAGAUUAUCCUCUCUUUCUGUGUCUUAUAAUCUGCCUGCCGGCGGCUCUCAGAAAGAAAACCUUCGAAGAAGAAGACUUGGUGUAUGCUGUUUAAGUUAUGAAAGGAGAAGCAGGAGUUUGUUUAAAUUGUGCGCUGCAACGCAUUUUCAUUUAUUAAUAAAUGUGAUGAUUUUGAGAAUAAGUCAAGCUUUUCAACACAAUCUAGAAAGUUCUGGUUGUGUUACCCGAAGGUGGCAUGAAUAAAUGUUUUGUGCCAGUAAAAAUCCCGCAAAGGGCUUUACAUAGUUCGAAAAGCGUUGGACAUGGAUUCGGAGGACCCGGACAAAUGUUUAAAAAAAGCAAUGACAAACAUUAAAAACAACUUAUAAACAAAAAAAAAAACAAAAACAUAGAUUUAGAUCGUUUCAGCCUUCUUCUAAAACAGGUUGACUUCCGUAUCAGAUGAGUUUUUCUAUUGAGAACAAGGAAGAACACUAUAGUAAAUUUACUCGACGCAUUACUAUGCGCAAGGGAGGAAAUAGAAAAUGGAAAGCAGCAAAGCGAUAUUAAAAAGCGCAACUUACCCGCUAUUUCAGUAUUUGUCAUGUGGGUGCAAGACAGUUUUAAACGUUUUAGCCGUUUGUGGUCGUUAGAGUGUGCAUGGCAAUAUUUGGGUCAAUCGAAGCCUAUAAAUCUGUAUGCCAAGUCAAAAUCUUCUAGCCUUAGUUUCCGAGAUCUCACGUUCAUACGGACAGACCGACAUAAUUAGAUCGACUCGGCUAAUGAUCCUGAUCAAGAAUAUAUGUA